GGAUUUGCAGAGAGAGUAGCAGCAGUAUUCUUGUAUUACUCAUUGAAUGGUGACUUCUCUUGUUUUUUGUGGUCCUGCCUUCUGGAAAUCUUAAUAGAUUGAUAUUAGAUAUUGGACAUCCUGGGUCAAUGCUUUAACUUUUCUAGUGUCUUACUUUCCAGCUCUUCUUCUUACUGUUCUACUUUUCAGACACUUCAUGCAAAUUAUUUUCCCAGUCUAUUGAAUUGUAUAUUUCUGCCAUAAUAUUUUAACUCUUAAGAUCUUUCUUGUUCUCUAAAUGUUUGUUUAUUUAGUGGUUUAUUUUUUGUGAUUUAUUGUAAUUAUCUUAAUCCUUGUUUCGGUAUGCAUUGUAUUUGCCUCCUUUG